GAUGAAGAACGUAGCGAAAUGCGAUACGUAAUGUGAAUUGCAGAAUUCAGUGAAUCAUCGAAUCUUUGAACGCAUAUUGCGCUCUCUGGUAUUCCGGAGAGCAUGCUUGUUUGAGUAUCAGUAAACACCUCAACUCCCUUUUCUUUUUUGAAAUUGGAGCUGGACUUGAGUGAUCCCAACGCUUUCUUCCAAGAAAGUGGCGGGUUGCUUGAAAUGCAGGUGCAGCUGAACUUUUCUCUGAGCUGUAAGCAUAUCUAUUUAGUCUGCCUAAAAAACAGAUUAUUACCUUUGCUGCAGCUAACAUAAAGGAGACUAGUUCUUGUGCUGACUGAUGCAGGAUUCACAGAGACAGCUUCGGCUGACUUUGUAAACUCGAUCUCAAAUCAAGUAAGACUACCCGCUGAACUUAAGCAUAUCAAUAAGCGGAGGA
rnacentral:misc_RNA from 1 species